AUUGAACGCUGGCGGCAUGCUUUACACAUGCAAGUCGAACGGUAACGCGGGGCAACCUGGCGACGAGUGGCGAACGGGUGAGUAAUGCAUCGGAACGUGCCCGGUAGUGGGGGAUAACUGCUCGAAAGAGCAGCUAAUACCGCAUACGACCUGAGGGUGAAAGGGGGGGAUCGCAAGACCUCUCGCUAUUGGAGCGGCCGAUGUCGGAUUAGCUAGUGGGUGGGGGAAGGGCCCACAAAGGCGACGAUCCGUAGCUGGUCUGAGAGGACGACCAGCCACACUGGGACGGAGACACGGCCAAGAGUCCUACGGGAGGCAGCGGUGGGGAAUUUUGGACAAUGGACGCAAGUCUGAUCCAGCCAUGCCGCGUGCGGGAAGAAGGCCUUCGGGUUGUAAACCGCUUUUGUCAGAGAAGAAAUCUUCUGGGUUAAUACCUCGGGAGGAUGACGGUAUCUGAAGAAUAAGCACCGGCUAACUACGUGCCAGCCGCCGCCGUAAAAC
rnacentral:rRNA from 1 species